GCUGUUCGCCAUUUAAAGUGGUACGCGAGCUGGGUUUAGAACGUCGUGAGACAGUUCGGUCCCUAUCUGCCGUGGGCGCUGGAGAAUUGAGGGGGGCUGCUCCCAGUACGAGAGGACCGGAGUGGACGCAUCACUGGUGUUCGGGUUGUCAUGCCAAUGGCACUGCCCGGUAGCUAAAUGCGGAAGAGAUAAGUGCUGAAAGCAUCUAAGCACGAAACUUGCCCCGAGAUGAGUUCUCCCUGAGACUAUAAGUCUCCUGAAGGAACGUUGAAGACGACGACGUUGAUAGGCCGGGUGUGUAAGCGCAGCGAUGCGUUGAGCUAACCGGUACUAAUGAACCGUGAGGCUUAACCUU
rnacentral:rRNA from 1 species